GAAGUGGACCGAGCGGCCGCGGCGGCCUCGGCUCAGUCGAGGCCGGCGAGGAAAGUCCGGCCUCCGCAGGGCAGGACGCUGGGUAACCCCCAGGCGCCGCAAGGCGAUGGAAAGUGCCACAGAAACAUACCGCCCACGGUGAUUUCAGAUUGCGGAUUUCAGGUCUCAGAUUGUGCCUCCGGCACGAGCGCCGCGAUCCGGUCCAAUCUGAAACCUGCAAUCUGAGAUCACCGUGGGUAAGGGUGAAAUGGUGCGGUAAGAGCGCACCAGUUCCGGCGGUGACGCCGGAAGCUGGGUAAACCCCGUUCGGAGCAAGGUCAAAUAGGAGGGGGAUGACGCUGCCCGCCGACCCCUCGGGUUGACCGCUACAGGCGUGCGGUAACGCACGUCGAAGAUAAAUGGCCGCUUCCGCCCGCAAGGGCGCCAGACAGGAGCCGGCUUACAGGUCCACUUCGCCA
rnacentral:RNase_P_RNA from 8 species